AUCGCAAAACUCCCAGCCUCGCCGCCUCCAGAGCUGUUCUUCUCACCUUUUCAUCAAACCCUUUUCGUUCGACUUUCUUCGUCAUCCAUCCUGCUUGUUAGCAAUUCCUGGCCACGCGCCCCAAGCUUGUCGAGGUUCCUAUACUUUCUCCUAAGAAAGAUCAGAUAUUGUUGAAAGUGGAAGCUGCAACUUUGAAUCCAAUUGAUUGGAAAAUUCAGAAAGGCAUAGUGCGACCAUUCUUGCCUCCAAAAUUUCCAUUUAUACCAGUCCAGAUAUGUUGAAGGCAUUCCAUUAGAUGGUAUAUUUGUUCAUCCUUCCAUGGUUGAAAUGUUGGAUGCUACUAUAGAGGAUGCCAUUGAGCAUGGUAACUGGUAUCAUUCAUUUCAUCACACUCAAUUCAGAACAAGUCCAGUGAUUGUUUGUACGAGAAGUCAUGUGUGUUGAAUGUAGCAAUUAUGUAAUUUGUUCCAAGUUUAUGUGAUUUGUUACAAAUUUAUGAAUUUAGCAUAUUUAUUGUUUUUUGAAUCGAACUCGAACCGAACUCGAGCCGAAGAUUAAAAUUUCGAACUCAAACCGAAUUUGA